UGGGGAAUCUUGGACAAUGGGCGCAAGCCUGAUCCAGCCAUGCCGCGUGGAUGAUGAAGGCCUUAGGGUUGUAAAAUCCUUUCGUCAGGGACGAUAAUGACGGUACCUGAAGAAGAAGCCCCGGCUAACUUCGUGCCAGCAGCCGCGGUAAUACGAAGGGGGCUAGCGUUGUUCGGAAUUACUGGGCGUAAAGCGCAUGUAGGCGGGUCGUUAAGUCGGGGGUGAAAGCCCAGAGCUCAACUCUGGAACUGCCUUCGAUACUGGCGACCUGGACCCAAGGAGAGGCGAGUGGAAUUGCGAGUGUAGAGGUGAAAUUCGUAGAUAUUCGCAGGAACACCAGUGGCGAAGGCGACUCGCUGGACUUGUGGUGACGCUGAGAUGCGAAAGCGUGGGGAGCAAACAGGAUUAGAUACCCUUGUAGUCCCUGAGCGGGCUGGCAAGGCGCAU
rnacentral:rRNA from 1 species